AGAAGGGGAAAGGAAAAAUAAACGGAGGAAAGAAAUAAAAAGACAGAAAGAACGGCUAGAAUAGAAAAGAAUGGAAACCAAAAGGGAAGGGCGAAGGAAAAGCUCCAGAGCGAGGGAACAAGGAAGAGGAGGAGGAAGAAAAGAAAACAAAGACAGAAGGAAAAAAGGCCAGGGAAGAGAGAAGAAAGGAAAUGAAAACUGCAGCGCAUUAAAAAGGGGAGAAACGGGCAAGAGAGGCGAAGGCACGGGAAGGGUAAUGCGUGGAGAAGCAGCGUCGCUUAUACAAGAUGUUGAUGGAAUUUACUAUAUUAUUAAAGGAAAAAAAAAAAAUCCCCUUUCAAGAAUAAAGUGUAUCAACUUACAACACAACAGACGGCAGAGGGAUAAGUGAAACAGACAAAAGACAAACAAGAUAAUAAUCUGUUUCCAAUCAGUUAAGCCCUGUAGAAUUUGUAAUACGCGGUUUGCAUAUUC